UUUUUGUUUGUAGCCUUUAGCCACCAGCCUCGCUUUAUAGCGAUCAAUCUCACCACUGGGUUUGUACUUUGUCUUGUACACCCACUUCACUCCUAUUGGGUUCUUGUCUGGCGGUAAUUCAGUCAGCUCCCAUGUUUUAUUCUUCUCAAUUGCAUUGAUUUCUUCAUCCAUAGCUUUUAUCCAAUUUUCAUCACGCGAGGCUUCUUCAAAAGUAACUGGCUCACAAUCUGCAAACAAAGCAAAGUUAAUGAUCUCUUCAUCAGAUGGGUCAUUGUCGGUACCCAAAAC
rnacentral:lncRNA from 1 species